rnacentral:tRNA from 1 species
GGAAGAGUGGCUCAGUGGUAGAGUGCAUGCCUUGCAUGCAUGACGCCACGAGUUCGAUUCCU